GACGAACGCUGGCGGCGUGCUUAACACAUGCAAGUCGAACGGAAAGGCCCCUUUGGGGGUCCUCGAGUGGCGAACGGGUGAGUAACGCGUGAGUAACCUGCCCUUGACUUCGGGAUAACUUCAGGAAACUGGGGCUAAUACCGGAUAGGAAUCCUUGCUGCAUGGUGGGGGUUGGAAAGCUUCGGCGGUUUUGGAUGGACUCGCGGCUUAUCAGCUUGUUGGUGGGGUAGUGGCUUACCAAGGCUUUGACGGGUAGCCGGCCUGAGAGGGCGACCGGCCACAUUGGGACUGAGAUACGGCCCAGACUCCUACGGGAGGCAGCAGUGGGGAAUAUUGCACAAUGGGCGGAAGCCUGAUGCAGCAACGCCGCGUGCGGGAUGACGGCCUUCGGGUUGUAAACCGCUUUCAGCAGGGGCGAAGCUUGUGGUGACGGUACCUGCAGAAGAAGCACCGGCUAACUACGUG
rnacentral:rRNA from 1 species